AUCCCGUGGUGCCGCCCGGCCCGGAAGCCGCCAGAAAAAGGAGCCACAAAAGGCCGGGAAAGGGGAUGGCGUGCAGGUGCGGGGAGGAGCUCGCCAGCAGGCGGCACUGCGGGCCGAAAACCACACACAGGUCGGGGUAUUGACGACCCCUAUUGGGCGACGCAGCGGACCUGACCUAGUAACGCAGGGUGCUCGCGUGGGUCCAGCUCCGCACGAACUGCCGCAGUGAUGCUCACGGAACCCUCAUCAGCAGCCAUCCUGUCUGUCCUGCUCCUAAGCCCUAGGGUGGGCCGAAGGUGAGCUCUUCUUUUCAAGGCUGAAGUCCUCAGGUCCUGACCUCCACUCCAGAGUUCCUCCACAGAAGCCUGGGGCCUAGCGCAGACCUGACUUAAAGGAUGAGCAGGCAGAAGUGGCCCAGAGUCACAAAUCCCUUAGAUUUGUUAGGAGUACGGAGUACUCACCUGGUGGGCUACAGUGUCUGCAGCAUCCAGUCAAUACUACCUCCAAGAUUCAUCAUCAAAUCAGCAUGCUUCUCUUCAUUUCUACUGCCACUGCCCAGGCACACCUGGCCUACUGCAAGCAACUCUCCACAGAUACAAAGUUCAGAAAAACUGAGAAAAUGUGCUGAAGAAGAUACCGUGCAGGAGGCCAGCCACCUGCUGAGCUGGGAGUCACAGGUACAAGGCCAGCAUGUUGAGGUGCAGGUGACCACUGAGAGCUGUCAAGUGCUCAGAGUCGAUCCAGGCCGUGAUCAGCCCACCAGACUCCUGGAAGAUGACACAAUGGACGGAGAGUAGCGACCGUUGAUUUCACUUCCACUGUGAGCCAGGCUCAGCAUGAAGCUGUGCUCCAUCCCCUGGUUUUCCACUCGGGCACGAAGAAAGAGGCAUCGUGAGCUCAUCUUCCUGACCGGAGCUGGAGGUGAUGGAGGAGAGGUGGCCAGGGCGGGCCUUGGUAUGUCGCCAGCUGAGGGAGUGCCUGCCUGAGGUGGGUCCUUCCGAACAGACCCAGAGCUGUGGCCGGCAGGCAGGGCGGGGAGGGACGAAGGGGAGAGGGCCUCAGCCCCAGCUGCCUGCAGGUCCGGGGAGGCCCUUGACCAGGGGAGCCAUUCUCUCAAUUCAAGCACCACCCCUGCUACCUCUAGGAGGUGAGAUGCCCAGGCCCCUGGACGGGUGUCUGAGGGAGAGCCGUGUUUCUGUGCAGGCCUAUCAGCAACGAGGGGAAAGCAGGAGGGAACGGGACCGGUCAGCUCAGCCCUGGGGAAACCCAUUACCUUCAGGUACCAUGCUCAUGUCUGUGGCAUCCAGAUACAGCUCUGAGCCUCAUUCCUUUCUUUUUUAAAAAUAUUUU